rnacentral:lncRNA from 1 species
AAACUGUUUUGAAAGAUAAAAGUACUUCCUGAAUAUGUGGAUGGUGAGCCACGUGAAUGGAAGACAUGGAGAUAUGGACUGUUAACACCUUGUCAAACAUUUAUUGUCCCUUCCACCUCUAAACUUCUGUGAUAAUAGGUGAACAGGACCCACGUGGUGCAGAAUACUGCGAUACACACUGCGGAAUAAUUCAGUGCAGAACAACACGUGGAUUGCUCAGUACAACUUGUUCAUCACAUCCUCCUGUUCACUGAAGAAUUAUGGAAAUAUUCUCUGAGCUGCUUUCCUCCCUGCCCAACGAGUCAUCUCUGUGUGAAAGGCCAAGCUUAUAAAUCCUGGU